GUGCCAGCAGCCGCGGUAAUACGGGGGGUGCAAGCGUUGUUCGGAUUUAUUGGGCGUAAAGCGCGUGUAGGCGGUUCUAUAAGUCUGAUGUGAAACCCUGGGCUCAACCCGGGAAGUGCAUUGGAUACUGUAAGACUUGAAUACGGGAGAGGGCAGUGGAAUUCCUAGUGUAGGAGUGAAAUCCGUAGAUAUUAGGAGGAACACCGGUGGCGAAGGCGGCUGCCUGGACCGAUAUUGACGCUGAGACGCGAAAGCGUGGGUAGCAAGCAGGCUUAGAUACCCUGGUAGUCCACGCCGUAAACGAUGAGAACUAGGUGUUGCGGGUAUUGACCCCUGCAGUGCCGUAGCUAACGCAUUAAGUUCUCCGCCUGGGAAGUACGGUCGCAAGACUAAAACUCAAAGGAAUUGACGGGGUGCCCGCACAAGCGGUGGAGCAUGUGGUUUAAUUCGACGCAACGCGGCAAACCUUACCUG
rnacentral:rRNA from 1 species